GAAGUGCGACAAGUGUCAUGACUUGCAGAUUCCCGGGAGCUGACAAAUUUCUGAAUGCAAAUGGCGGCCGGUGAAAACGGCCAUGUAUCGCAGAGUGUAGUUGUUCAUACUCAUCAUCCCCUGUGAUCACACGCUUGGUCACAGAGAUCGGGAUCUGCGCUUGCGACUCCCGCGAGCGUUAAACAAGGAGCGUCAGGGGCAUGUAACAGUGCCCUUGACGACUUCGGAUGACCCAAGCUCUAGCGAGCGCGGGCGCUUCCCAAGUUACCAUGCUCUUACCUUUAGGCAGCCACCUCUGCGAUGCAGGAGAACCCGCUGAACUUAA
rnacentral:misc_RNA from 1 species